CAUCAUAAUCUCAUCAAUAUCAAUUGGCCACUGAGAGAGAUCAGGUGAAAUUCAAAUAAAAAGUAUCCAAUUCAUAAGAUCAACUAAUCAAUCACGCACCUAAAUAUGUGAGUAGAUUUUAAGUCGAAUUGAAAUAAGCUAGCAACAACAUAAUUGUGCAUCCUAUUUUAGAUUCAUUCUUCAAUCUGUCUGUUGUUUUCGCAUAAAGCCCGAAGUCGAAGAAGGUGAAGAGUCUCGCAUCUUCAGGAAAAAUUUUGGCACUGUCUACUACUGGGAAGAAGAAAGAGAAAGAUGGUGAUUAUGAUCCAAGGUAGAUUUCAAGUUCUUAGAGUAGUUUAGAUUUUUUUUUUUCUAUUUUUGGAUGUUUUCAGUUUAUCAGAGUAUUUAUUUCAUGUUUUUAGGGUUUGUGUUUCAGUUUUUGUUGUUUUAUACACAUGUUUUCAGUUGUUGUUGUUUUAUACACAUGUUUUUCAGUUGAUAUUUAUAUUCUUUCAGUUGAUUAUAGUAUUCUUUCAGUUGCUACUUGUAUUCUUUCAGUUGAUGUUGUUUUCAAUUGAUAUUUAUAUUCCUUCAGUUGAUUCUUUUAUUGUUUCAGUUGAUUCUAGUAUUGUUUCAGUUGCUUCUUAUAUUCUUUCAGUUGAUUUUGUUUUAUUUCAUUUAGACAUUUCUACCUUUCUUUUGGUGUUUUUCAUUUGUUUUUCUUUACUUUUUUUUAAAAAAUAAAGAUGUGUUACUGAAAAAUGAAAAGUGUAACUGAAAAAUGAAGUAGUGUAACUGAAACAAUGUAAAUUGUAACUGAAUAUUUUUAGUCUCAUUGGAAAACAAUGAAAUAAAGAGUCAUUAUACUAAAUGAAGUAGUAAGAAGACCAACUGAAAAAUAAAGAAGUCUAGCUGACAACUAAAUAAGUCUAACUGAAAACUAAAUAAGUCUAUCUGAAGCACUAUAUAGACUAGCUAACACUAGUACAGAAAAGGCAAUUUGCGUCGGCAUGUGAGGCGCCUAUUUGCGUCGGACUCUGGUGCGACGCCAAAGCCCUCGACGCAAAUGACUCAAAACGAUCUGCGUCGUAUGUGGAAACGACGCAGAUGGUUCAGAUAUUUGCGUCGCACUCGUAUAGGUGCGACGCAGAUGGCUAUCCCAGCCCACAUUACAGAGGUAAUGUGCGUCGCACAUUGCCUUUGGUGCGACGCACAUUAGUGAUUUGCGUCGCACUUCGGGCUAUGUGCGACGCAAAUUACUAUUUUAAUAAAAAAAAAAUUUUUUUUUUUAGACUUAGAAUAAUGAUUCUCGAACAGUAGAAGUAGAUUAUUGAGAGACAAAUUACCAACUGAAAUCAAAGAAGGAUUGAACACAACAAAAUAUAUACCAACAAAAUUCAAUAAUUUUAUAAUUUACAACUACAACACAAAACAUUAAACCACCAAAAUUCUAUAAUUUACAACUUGAACACAAAAUAAUAUAAAAAAUCAGAGAUCUACAAUUUCCUCUACUAGUGUUCGACGAAAACUUCCACUUCAAAAAUUUCCGACGAAACGACCAUC